rnacentral:rRNA from 1 species
AUUGAACGCUAGCGGGAUGCCUAACACAUGCAAGUCGAACGAGUGGCGGACGGGUGAGUAAUAUAUCGGAACGUGCCCAGUAGAGGGGGAUAACUACUCGAAAGAGUGGCUAAUACCGCAUACUAUUGGAGCGGCCGAUAUGGGAUUAGCUAGUUGGUGGGGUAAAGGCUCACCAAGGCCACGAUCCGUAGCUGGUUGUAGAGGAUGACCAGCCACACUGGGACUGAGACACGGCCCAGACUCCUACGGGAGGCAGCAGUGGGGAAUUUUGGACAAUGGGGGAAACCCUGAUCCAGCCAUCCCGCGUGUAUGAGAAGGCCUUCGGGUUGUAAAGUACUUUUGGCAGAGAGGCGGUAUCUGCAGAAUAAGCACCGGCUAACUCCGUGCCAGCCGCCGCGGUAAUUC